GACGAACGCUGGCGGCGUGCUUAACACAUGCAAGUCGAACGGUGAAGCGCCUUCCUUUUUGGUGGGUGUGGAUGAGUGGCGAACGGGUGAGUAACACGUGAGUAACCUGCCCCCUUCUUCUGGAUAACCGCAUGAAAGUGUGGCUAAUACGGGAUAUUCUGGGUCUGUCGCAUGAUGGGUCUGGGAAAGAUAUUGUUUCGGUGGGGGAUGGGCUCGCGGCCUAUCAGCUUGUUGGUGGGGUGAUGGCCUACCAAGGCGGUGACGGGUAGCCGGCCUGGGAGGGUGGACGGUCACACUGGGACUGAGACACGGCCCAGACUCCUACGGGAGGCAGCAGUGGAGAAUAUUGCACAAUGGGCGCAAGGCUGAUGCAGCGACGCCGCGUGAGGGAUGGAGGCCUUCGGGUUGUGAACCUCUUUCGCCAGUGAAGCAGGCCUGCCUCGUUUGUGGGUGGGUUGACGGUAGCUGGAUAAGAAGCGCCGGCUAACUACGUG
rnacentral:rRNA from 1 species